AACGCACCUUGUGCCCUCUGGUUAUUCCGGAGGGCAUGCCUGUUUGAGUAUCAUGAACACCUCAACUUCCAUGGUUUGCCAUGGCAGCUUGGACUUUGGAGGUUUUGCUGGCCUGUGGUCGGCUCCUCUCAAAUGAAUCAGCUUUCCGGUGUCUGGUGGUUCACGGGUGUGAUAACUAUCUACACCGUGGUUUUCUGCUGGGUAACCUUCAGUGAUGAAGGUUCGCUGGAGCUCAUAGACGUCCCCCUUGGUGAGGACAGCUCUUUGAACGUUUGAUCUCAAAUCAGGUAGGACUACCCGCUGAACUUA
rnacentral:rRNA from 1 species